rnacentral:rRNA from 1 species
AUUGAACGCUGGCGGCAGGCUUAACGCAUGCAAGUCGAGCGGGGGGAGGUAGCUUGCUACCUAACCUAGCGGCGGACGGGUGAGUAAUGCUUGGGAAUCUGCCAUUUAGUGGGGGACAACAUUCCGAAAGGAAUGCUAAUACCGCAUACGUCCUACGGGAGAAAGCAGGGGAUCUUCGGACCUUGCGCUAAAUGAUGGGCCUAAGGCGGACUAGCUGGUUGGUGGGGUAAAGGCCUACCAAGGCGACGAUCUGUAGCGGGGCUGAGAGGAUGAUCAGACACACUGGGACUGAGACACGGCCCGGACUCCUACGGGGGGCAGCAGUGGGGAAUAUUGGACAAUGGGCGGAAGCUGAUACAGCCAUGCCGCGUGUGUGAAGAAGGCCUUUUGGUUGUAAAGCACUUUAAGCGAGGAGGAGGCUACUAGUACUAAUACUACUGGAUAGUGGACGUUACUCGCAGAAUAAGCACCGGCUAACUCUGUGCCAGCCGCCGCAGUAACAC